CCCCCCUGGGUGUGACGUCAAAGGCAAUCCCAGCGCAGACACGUGGGUUGGAGCAGCCUAGCGUUCCUGGGCAAUUGCUCCCGAGAUCCAUCAGGCAGCAACGGUCCCACGGGAGCCCCUCUGCUGCUCCGGAAGAUGCAAAAUGGAAAAGUCCAUCUGGGGACGUGCCGCCUUCCCCAGGCAGAGAGGUUACCUGUGUCCCCAGAAAGGCAGCGGAUUUCUGGCGAGAGCCACAGAGAUGGGAAAAGAGGGCUCUCUGUUGCUAAGCCUGACAGCGACCUGAAAUAUUCCCUGAUCUUCCGUCUUGGAAAUUUUUAAAACUCCAAAUUUUCCAAAAAUUUCAAAACACUUAUAUGGAUAAUUUCUUCCUUCUCCCUGGCCUAUUUGAGGACCUUCAUCGUUCACCAAACCGCGCCAGUGUAACGUACCUUGUUCAGCUCUUGGUCAUAAAGUCGUCCUCAGCCUGUCUGUGUGGUCCCGGAGGGUCGGUGGCGGGCAGUUUCCAAAAUUGAGGUAAUAAGAGAUUAGAUGAAUUUGAGACGACCGGCCAAAAAAAAUAAGAAAUUUAAAAGCAACAUUUACACAGGAUAGGGAAGUCUUGAAUGUUUGAUUCUCCCCCACUUUAAAAAGUAAUUUCACUAAUAUUCUCUUUAUUUUUUUCGUUGCACUUCAGUCUUCUAAUUCUUAAAGAAAUUAUGCUUUAAAAAUAAAUUAACUUUUUUCUUUC